UACGUAGGGGGCUAGCGUUAUCCGGAAUUACUGGGCGUAAAGGGUGCGUAGGCGGUCUUUCAAGCCAGAAGUGAAAGGCUACGGCUCAACCGUAGUAAGCCUUUGAAACUGGGAAACUUGAGUGCAGGAGAGGAGAGUGGAAUUCCUAGUGUAGCGGUGAAAUGCGUAGAUAUUAGGAGGAACACCAGUUGCGAAGGCGGCUCUCUGGACUGUAACUGACACUGAGGCACGAAAGCGUGGAGAGCAAACAGGAUUAGAUACCCUGGUAGUCCCU
rnacentral:rRNA from 1 species